GUUACGGCGGUCAUAGCGUGGGGGAAACGCCCGGUUCCAUUCCGAACCCGGAAGCUAAGGCCCACAGCGCCGAUGGUACUGCAACCGGGAGGUUGUGGGAGAGUAGGUCGCCGCCGGACAUUCUUUGAGGGAGGGCCUCGCACUGUUGGUGCGAGGCCCUUCCCG
rnacentral:rRNA from 1 species